UGGGGAAUAUUGGGCAAUGGGCGCAAGCCUGACCCAGCAAUGCCGCGUGAAGGAAGAAGGCUUUCGGGUUGUAAACUUCUUUGACAGGGGAAGAGCAGAAGACGGUACCCUGAAAACAAGCCACGGCUAACUACGUGCCAGCAGCCGCGGUAAUACGUAGGUGGCAAGCGUUGUCCGGAUUUACUGGGUGUAAAGGGCGUGUAGCCGGGAAGGCAAGUCAGAUGUGAAAUCCGGAGGCUCAACCUCCGAAUUGCAUUUGAAACUGUUUUUCUUGAGUACUGGAGAGGCAGACGGAAUUCCUUG
rnacentral:rRNA from 1 species